rnacentral:lncRNA from 1 species
AUCCCUUUAGUAGCCCCUCUUGUGCUAGUGGAGUUAACUAGGCAUUUUGAGUGUACUUAGACUGGAUGAGCAUAAGGACAGAAUUCCUACGUGUGGGGGGUUCCAAAUGUAUAGUAGGGAUAGUGGUUGGAAUGCAUGUUUGACCACAUGAGACAUUAGUUUGGCUCCCGUUGGGCUGUGUCGCACCUUGUUCUAUGUUCGGCUUGGGUCUAAGCCCAAACUCCAUGCUGCUCUAGUCAGUGGAGUACCCUCCUCUUCGCGUUAGGCCACUAGUAUGCCAAAAUUGUGCUAGACUCUGUUUCACACCAUUUUGCAUCCAGGUGCUGGAUACAAGGAGCUGGUGCUCAUGGGAUUGUACAAGACCCUCAUUUUGUAGCACAACGGGCUUGGAGUUUGGCUCCAAAUUCAGGUGCGCUACAAUACCAUACCAUUAGCAAUCAAGGAGUAUGUCAUUUAAAGCUGUUAAUGCUGCUCUAUUGGAUAAAACUUUUGGUGCUAUGGGGUGUGAUUGUGCUGGUCUUGCACCCAUCCUUGGUGUGUUGCUGUCUCCAACUUUUGUGGGACGCAAUUACAAACCUUCUCAUAUUUUUAGUAUUUCUUCCUCAUCUGCAGUGUUUUAUUCUUUUGGCAUAUCAAUGAUUUGUGACUUUUAUGAUUCUCAUUCCCAAUCCAGUGUUGAGUUGAGUGUUUUUUGUCCUCUUCAUACUAAUAUGGAUGUUGAGUGUGUUCAUGAAGUUGAGAAUUUUUCUUUUGUUUCAUUAGCAGAGUCUUUGAUCAACUCUGGUGUUGAGUAUUCCCAUAUUUCAAGGGUUGAGUCACUUUAGCCAGAGUUUCAUGUUGAAUGCAUAUCUGUACUUGUGAGUGUUGCUGAGAACUUUUGCUUUAUUGUUUCUACUAAGAAGUUUAUGUAUUCCCUUGAGAGUGUGGACAUUAUUAUUGAUUUUCCUGUCUCAAGUGUUGAGUUGUGUGUUAAGAAGUUGAACGGUAUGAAUCUUUUGCUUAUAUUGUGGUGGCUGAAGUAUUUUUCCAAGCUUUGAGUAUGUGUCUUUCUUUUGAUUUCCCCAUUUUUGCAUUGUUAACUAUUGCAAAUUCCUCUUCUAAUACUUCUUUAUCCAGUUUUUCUUCUUCCACAAUUAUUUUUCCUGAAUUUUUCUUAUUUUCUACUUUUUCCCCCGACACUUCAAACUUUUUUCUUUAGAGCAGGGGGUAGAGAGGACGGAUGGAAGUCCAGCCCCAACAAUGGAGUGAGGAUGAGUGAAUAUGGUAGUGGAGUGAAGAAGAACAACAUAGAUUGUGGAGUGAGGACGAGUAUAGUGAGUCUGAACAGCACAUCUAGCCCUGAUGUAGUGAGGCCAAACGGAUGCAAUAGUGAAGUGAGGCUGAACAUAGAUAGCGGAGUGAGGACGAGUGCAAAAAGUCUGAACUAGGCUAGUGCUUCAAAACAUUUUUUCCUUCAAGGAAGGGAUAAGGAGGAUGAACGGAGGGAUUUUGACUUCCUAUAUAUGGUGCUAGACGAGGAUGAUAGUUCUACUUAUGGUCCUAAGUCCGAGUUAAUGGUGAUCUUAGAGGAUUGUGUAAGCCACAAAUUUUUCCUUUCCAAUUUGCCAACUUAUCUCGUCUAUCCGUCCAACACUGCCUUGGCUUUUGCUAAGUUCCUUUGCCAAGGUUCUCGCCUAUGGUACCAGCUCCUACUUAGUCCUACUUGGUUUCAGCUACUCACUGCACGAGCAACGGAGUGUUAGCCAUCCAUCCACGGAUUCCCACAUCACUCCCAAUCCCCCUCCCCAGGUUAGACUGAACUUAAGGUUCGGCUACACUCCCCGCAAGCACAAGCAGCCAAGCACACCAAGCUUCCAGGUUCCUAACAUCCCUUGGUACCACAAGACUUGAUCAUAGGACCCUCUAAAUCCCAAGUCUUGAGUGCAACACUUGCUUCGGGAUGCCGGGGGGAAACACCGUGACCCCCCCACUUCCAUCCCGAAGGAAGGCCCAAGCCCCUAAGAAGGGCGAGGACCAAUGAGCCGCAUGGUACUCAAGUGGGGCACCACUCCACAUGAGCCGGGAGCACUGCAAUUGGUUUCCCUUUCAGGAGUGGGAGCUGCUCUUGAGCACUUCCUUGGAUGGCCCCUCCGGCACCAACCGAGUCCAUGCUCACUCCCACCCAAGGCCCUUCGGUCCCAGUCUCAACCUCAAGUCAGUUUGGAAGCCCCACUAGAGAGUUCCUUCAAAACUGGUUCUUGGACCUCACUAUCCCUACUAUACUUUUGGAACCCCCUGCAGCCCCCCUGGGAGACACACGCUUUGGGCUUUCACCCCUUGACCCGUAUUAGUACUCGGACUCAGUCUCUGGCUCGAUCUCGGACUCGAUCUCGGAUCCGACUUCAGAUUCGGUCUCGGACUUGAUCUCGGACUCGAUCUCGGACCCGAUCUUGGACCCAACCUCGGACUCGACCUCGGUCUCGGUCUCGGACCCGAUUUCGGAUCUCGGACUCCAUCUUGAACUCGGUCUCGAACUUGGUCUCGAAAUCGGUCUCCAAGUCGGCCUCGGACUCGAUUCCGGACUCUAUCUCGAACUCGGUCUUAGAGUCGGUCUUGGACUCGAUCUAAGACUUUGUCUUAUCCGAUGAACUCUUUAUCAUUUUGGUCAUGCUUUCGGGGAUCCUUUAACCUACGACACCUCGGUGAGUUGGUUCUUUACAGAUUGUCAAUAUACAGACUUAGAGAUGGGAUAUAUUGUUUGCUACAAUGGUGUUCUAUGGACUUAUAUAACUCUCAAAGUCCCUUAUUUCAAUUCAAAGUUAUGGUUGUGUAGUUGGUUUUAACAUUUGGGAGUUGUAUCUAGAGUUACAACUGAGUCACUAGGAUUUUGUAAUUGGCUGAUGCUUAUUGUUUCAGAUUCUUGUGGUGAUUUAUAAUCUCCCAGCAGGAGCUUCAGAUGUGUAAGCGACUAAAUUUUCCAUUCUACUUUAGUCACUUAACCACACCUCUGACCACUUGGAGGAGUCUCAUUCACAACCUCCAUGAGUCCAAUCCAGGACUUGGGACUUGCUAGCCCCGAGAAUGGCAUCCAUGCCACUCAACAUUUGCACUUGGUCCAAGUGCUCCACGUGUCCGAUCCCAUGACCGACACUCAAAGGUACCACCGACAUAGCAGCCCGUUACGCUAAGGCCAUGCCCAAUCACCUUUGCCACACUGGUAGUCCAAUACCACUUGCAUCACCGUCUUGGCUCUCCAAGACUAGGCAAACCAUCCAUGAGUGGUCAUCUCAGAUCCACUCCUUAGCAUCCUUAGGAUGCCCACCGACAAGGGGAAUAGCCUUCCCCAAUAUCCCUUUGUCAGUCCCCACUAAGUCCCUUUCUGCCCCUGGCCGUAUUUGCCAACACUGCCACUGGAUCGAGACCCACAAGCCCGACCACUAAGUCCUACGGUCCUUUGGGACUUCCUCACCACACGACUGUGUCCUUGGUCACUACCCCAGAGGACUGCUCCUCUUCCUUUCCACAGUCUGGGCCUUUGGGACAACAUUUCGGAACACCAUGGCCUUACGCGAGCCACCGGGGUACUCUCCUCGCCUUCUGCCCUUGGGUGCUCUAGCCAUGGGCUUAGAGCGGGUUCCGUUGAGCCACACCAGGUAUCCAAGUAGGUAGUGCCACCCACACUUGGACUGGGAGCAUCGGCCAGUCGAUCUCCCGGGGGAACUAGAGUCGGCUCUUGAACACUUCACCAAGCUACCCCGCUUGUCGGUCUGUGUUCACUCUAGUCUUGGACUUCCCAGUGGGCAGCUCAUCACCCAACACUGGGUCCGGCCUUCCUGGGCCAAACUGGCCUUUCCUGGCCAAACUGGCUCCACUGCAGUCCUCCCCCCUUACUAUACUUUUGGAGCUCACCAAAUCCCCCAGGGUCUGGGAGACGAACGCUUUGGGCUUUCACCCUCUCAGACUCGAACUCGGACUCGGACUCGGACUCGGACUCGGACUCGGACUCGGACUCGGGCUCGGGCUCGGGCUCGCUCUCGGCCUCGGCCUCGGUCUCGGUCUCGGUCUCGGUCUCGGUCUCGGUCUUGGUCUCGGUCCCGGUCUCGGUCCCGGUUCCAUCUCGGACUCCAUCUUGGACUCCAUCUCGGGUCCAUCUCGGACUCCAUCUCGGGUCCAUCUCGGGUCCAUCUCGGACUCCAUAUCGGACUCCACUUCGGGUCCAUCUCGGACUCCAUAUCGGACUCCACUUCGGGUCCAUCUUGGACUCCAUAUCGGACUCCACUUCGGGUCCAUCUCGGACUCCAUAUCGGACUCCAUAUCGGACUCCACUUCGGGUCCAUCUCGAACUCCAUAUCGAACUCCAUCUCGGACUCCACUUCAGACUCCAUAUCGGACUCCAUAUCGGACUCCACUUUGGGUCCAUCUCGGACUCCACUUCAGGUCCAUCUCGGACUCCAACUCGGGUCUGCCUCGGACUCCAUCUCGGACACUUCUACGUGUCAUGUGUUGGUCCUUUUUGGGUCCCCUUUUUGGAGCCUUGCGUAUUGGUUGCCUCGUGCUUGCUCCUCGAGCACUUUGUUGGGAGUUCCACUCCCGCUCUCGACCUUCCAAGUCAGAGCUUUUAGUUCAAACGUGUUAUGCUCGUUUGGCUUUCGCUUCGGCCACUACCACGUGGCACCCUUUCCGACUCCACUUUGGGGCCUAGGGAUUUUGUGUCUCACAACUCCACCACCCAUAGACGAAGUUCGAUGUCCUCAUCGAACAGUAAACCAUUUUAUAAAGUAACACCCGCAUGUGUUACCAUUUCCAUCUUUGGCACCUAGCCAAUAUUUGUCAAUGGUUUGACAUUGAAGGCUCACCAUGCCUUGCCCAUCCUCUAAGGAGGGUAAUCUCUCCAACUUAGAGACUAAUUGGACCACAUGUAGUGGUUCUCUCCUUUUAUUGGUUUAGUUCUUGCUAAACCUUUUAGAGACCCUUCUCUAAGUCAAUCCCACUACUCCUUCUCGAGUAGUCUCAAUUUCCAUCUAUUGAACGUUUGCACCUUGGAACUUUUAUUCUUUCGACUUUUGGAAGUCAAUUUCCUAGGUGUCUCCAACACCUUGCAUUGCACAAAUUGUGCAACUCCACUUCCCCAUCCUAGGAAGUUCGUUACUUGAGGGCACCAUCAUCCUCUCUUCUAUUUCGUGCCACCUUGGGCACCUAGUUCCAUUUAUCAUACUUUGUGCUAGGGCUGUCCAUGGCCCUAUCAUUUGGCUACCUUACUGCUCCCUCCCUUGGAGCUUCUACUUUCGCCAAAUCGGAGCAAUUCGGAAUCCAUCCUUGGAAACACACUUUCUUUCCCGCAAUUUGUUAGCAUCCAACACAUUAAUGUUCCUCACCUAACUUUGUCACUUGGAUUCCUUCCAAGGGAUUCGACGGCCCUAUCUUGGCCACUCAUCUUUUGCUCCUAUCCGUUGAUUGUUGCACCAAGCAACAUCAAAUCUCUACCUCCCUCCUUGAGGUAUUCUUUUGAUUCCAUAGCAAAGGCUCUGCUUUGCCAAGACUAGGGUGUUCACCCUUAGUAAGUCUCUUUAGCAUCUUCUGCUGUGAGCUCUAUCCACGGCCCAACUUCGUGACCCUCCCAUGGGUCUCUUAUAGAGACUACUUUCCUUGGAUUCACUAUGCCAUUGCACGGACAUAGUUUAUUUCCCUUAGGUGCUCUUCCCACUUGGUCAUCAUGUCCAAGCCACACCACCUUAAACAGUUGAAUUUCAACAUUUUGAACCAGGAACUUCAUUCCUUAGCCAACCAAGGACCUUGUCCUUAUUUGGCCAUACGAUCACCUAGUGAUCUCACCUUGGCACCUUAACAGAGUUGCCAAGAGGUAUUUGGUCUUUUAGACCUUCAAAUUGUUGACUAUAACCCCGGGGGCAUCCCCCACACUUGGCGGUGCACCCAAGCCAACCCUUACGGCCAAGGGUUCAUAGCAAUUGAGAUUAGGUGUCCCCAUCUCACUCACCACGUCCUUGGUGCCACUUGCACCAAAGCGUUCAAGUUAGAUAUGCCGAGCUUUCACACUAAGCAAUCUAACCGUGCAUCACGACUCUGAGGCAUCCCUCACUUGGCGGUGUGCCCAAACCAGUCUCCCCACUGAGAGUCCAUGACCACCGAAAUAUGAGUGUCCUCAUAUUCCAAACCAUCACCACGCCCUAGUGAUUUGGGACUCGAACCCAAGCACUAGAAGGUCGGGACUCGAACCCAACCUCCGUAUAUGCAUCUACGGACGGCAUCACACAAGAUGCCUGGCGUGACUCCCCACGCCGGUGCACCAACUUAUUUUUAAAGCGCGCUACAAAUCACAGCUUAGGAACCUAGUUCCCCCACACUGCCAAGUCCUCUCACUUGACAUAUCUGUGAUCAUGCAUGGGCUCCUCCAUGCUUGGCCCCAUAGGCCACCCUUUUUGAAGUUAGCACCUUCAACUAGGGUAUUUGUUCCCCCCAACUUGCCAAUCUCACUUAGCAAGUCAUCCGGCCACCGUAACAUGGUUCAUGCAUAAGCGUGGAAGUCCUUAACCAUCAACUUUCGUUCAAAGCCCUCUCUUUGAACACUCGGGAACUACUUCCCUAACCUUGAUAGCCUUGCCUCAUGGCAAGCUUCAAGACCACGCUUCUGCUGCGCCACUCUGAUUUCGCGCGUUCUAUGAACCAUUUACACUUGUCCUUUCUAGGUACUAAGCUACUUAGAAUCGUCUUUAGGAACCUUGAAGGAACUCUGUCCCUUAGCUUGCUAAGGCCUCCCUUUUUGCAAGUUUUCCAAUUGCCACAUAGUCUAACAUGGACAAUUCCAUAUUUUAGACUCUCCAUGGCAUCACGGUUGCUAGCGGCAACACCCUCGAGCCCCCACUUGAUUCUCCACUCUCAGCUGGCAUAACCAACCUUGGUUAUGCCCUUCGAUUUCUAUGGUUCAGUUCCAUCCCAAUACUACUUGCCUUUUGGCCCCAUAUGUUUCCUUUGGUUAUUCUCCUCCAGACCAGGAGGAUAGCUUUGCAUUUUCUAUCAUGCCUUAGCAAGUAUUCUUAGGGAUGAACCUACCCAAUAGCCCAGGGAGUGGUUCCUCAAUUCGGGUAUGCUUACCUUAUAAUCCCACACACUGGGAUUACAUUGUUGCUUAUGGGCCUUUACAUGCCCAUCAUUAGCCUUGCCAAAAUUCCAUUUUUGGCUUUGUCCAACUCGGGUAGACAGUCUUCUCCUGUCUCCGCAACCUUGGACAUUUGGAUAGCACCUUCUAUCCAUCAUUCGCUAGGGACUUAGUCCCUUGGGCUUUAUCCAUUGCCCUCGCGACAUCAAACACCACCUUUUGGUGUUCUAGAGUGUUCGGGUGUCCCAAUGAUGGCUUUCUUGACAAUGAGUAUUUCCUUUUAUGACAUUGACUUACUAUAUCACAACACAAGCAACUUAUCCCCCAUAAGGGUUUAUCCGACUUCCCUAUGCUAUUAAGAAGUCUUGGGUAGCUACCUUCUACCCGUUCAACCAGUUAUUUUGCACCUCUUGCUUAGUUGCCUCAUAGUUGUCAAGUCCUACAACUCAUUGUUUGGUGCUUUCACACCUCCAUCAUUAUCUGGGUCACCGCACUCCAACUGUACGCUCUGCAGCUUAGGCUAUGCCAUUCCCAUUUCCAUUGGGAUUCCUUUGGCAAGGGGUUCUCAUAAACCCACCAACAUAGCCUCAAGGUAUCACACCUUGGCACAUUUGGUGUCUCCACACCAUUGGCUCCACGAGCCUACCUCUAUGACACUUCCCCUUCGUGUUUAUGUCUUUGCCAAGACCAACACCGCUCUUUCUCAUGCCAACCAUCCGUUAGCAUUGCACCAUAGAGGUCACACACAACUUUGUGUCAAAAUUGUUUUCUUCUGGGAACACCUUUCCCAUAACUUUAGCAUGGCACAUUUUGCCAUCGAUGAGAUACCCUCUGUUCUCAUCCUUGGAUCCUAUGAUCCCCCCCCAUCCUUUGUGGGGUACAACACACCUCAGUCCAAAUGCUUCCAUCAGUCCUUUUAGGACCAUCCCUUGACUCUACUUGAGUCAUCAGCAGUUUUGGACUUGGUUAAUCCACAGACCCUUAAGGUCCUACUUGUGAGACACUAGCUCACUGGAAUACACUUCUUGCAUUCCUGUCCUACUCAAAAGGACUAUUUUCACAAGUGUUACUCCGACACUUGAUUUUGUUCUCUAGGGGCAACUUUUGCCCCUUAGGACUACUUGUCCAUGCGAUGAGAAUACCACUCAUCUCUAAGUACACCCCCCAACUCCUUGGGUUGUUCCAGCAUUUAUUAAAGGUAGCCCCGGCUACCAUUUCAAGGACUUGAGUCCUCUUCCGUAUUUGACCUCCCACGGUCAUUACCUCUGGUCUCACAUUCAUGAGCACCAACCUCAACUAUAUGAGGAUAAUCUUGUGACUCCUUUAUUGUUUUGGAGUCUCUAUUUUUCCCGUGAUCCCAACUUUAGUUGUUUACCACAACAACCUUAGCCAAUUUGCUGAGACAAAUGCUCAUCCGGAUCACAUCCUCAACUCAAUGAGGAAAACCUUGCACUGUUCCCAAGAUCCCAAAGUCGUUCCAUUAUUGGCCCUUUUUUAUCCACCACCUCGUCUACAAGUUCCCACAUGAACUGUAAUGGAGAGCCAUGUCUUCCCGACUUGCUACUCCUCAAGGAUAGGCCCACUCCUCGGACCUUCCGAUGCCAACACUAGUGGUGAUAUACUUGAGCACCAAUAAAAGUCGGACUAAGGAACAGCUCCGAUACCAAAUUGUAAGCGACUAAAUUUUCCAUUCUACUUUAGUCACUUAACCACACCUCUGACCACUUGGAGGAGUCUCAUUCACAACCUCCAUGAGUCCAAUCCAGGACUUGGGACUUGCUAGCCCCGAGAAUGGCAUCCAUGCCACUCAACAUUUGCACUUGGUCCAAGUGCUCCACGUGUCCGAUCCCAUGACCGACACUCAAAGGUACCACCGACAUAGCAGCCUGUUACGCUAAGGCCAUGCCCAAUCACCUUUGCCACACUGGUAGUCCAAUACCACUUGCAUCACCGUCUUGGCUCUCCAAGACUAGGCAAACCAUCCGUGAGUGGUCAUCUCAGAUCCACUCCUUAGCAUCCUUAGGAUGCCCACCGACAAGGGGAAUAGCCUUCCCCAAUAUCCCUUUGUCAGUCCCCACUAAGUCCCUUUCUGCCCCUGGCCGUGUUUGCCAACACUGCCACUGGAUCGAGACCCACAAGCCCGACCACUAAGUCCCACGGUCCUUUGGGACUUCCUCACCACACGACUAUAUCCUUGGUCACUACCCCAGAGGACUGCUCCUCUUCCUUUCCACAGUCUGGGCCUUUGGGACAACAUUUCGGAACACCGUGGCCUUACGCGAGCCACCGGGGUACUCUCCUCGCCUUCUGCCCUUGGGUGCUCUAGCCAUGGGUUUAGAGCGGGUUCCGUUGAGCCACACCAGGUAUCCAAGUAGGUAGUGCCACCCACACUUGGACUGGGAGCAUCGGCCAGUCGAUCUCCCGGGGGAACUAGAGCCGGCUCUUGAACACUUCACCAAGCUACCCCGCUUGUCGGUCUGUGUUCACUCUAGUCUUGGACUUCCCAGUGGGCAGCUCAUCACCCAACACUGGGUCCGGCCUUCCUAGGCCAAACUGGCCUUUCUUGGCCAAACUGGCUCCACUACAGUCCUCCCCCCUUACUAUACUUUUGGAGCUCACCAAAUCCCCCAGGGUCUGGGAGACGAACGCUUUGGGCUUUCACCCUCUCAGACUCGAACUCGGACUCGGACUCGGACUCGGACUCGGACUCGGACUCGGACUCGGGCUCGGACUCGGACUCGGACUCGGACUCGGACUCGGGCUCGGGCUUGCUCUCGGCCUCGGCCUCGGUCUCGGUCUUGGUCUCGGUCUCGGUCUCGGUCUUGGUCUCGGUCCCGGUCUCGGUCUCGGUCCCGGUUCCAUCUCGGACUCCAUCUUGGACUCCAUCUCGGGUCCAUCUCGGACUCCAUCUCGGGUCCAUCUCGGGUCCAUCUCGGACUCCAUAUUGGACUCCACUUCGGGUCCAUCUCGGACUCCAUAUCGGACUCCACUUCGGGUCCAUCUCGGACUCCAUAUCGGACUCCACUUCGGGUCCAUCUCGGACUCCAUAUCGGACUCCAUAUCAGACUCCACUUCGGGUCCAUCUCGGACUCCAUAUCGAACUCCAUCUCGGACUCCACUUCGGACUCCAUAUCGGACUCCAUAUCGGACUCCACUUUGGGUCCAUCUUGGACUCCACUUCAGGUCCAUCUCGGACUCCAACUCGGGUCUGCCUCGGACUCCAUCUCGGACACUUCCACGUGUCAUGUGUUGGUCCUUUUUGGGUCCCCUUUUUGGAGCCUUGCGUAUUGGUUGCCUCGUGCUUGCUCCUCGAGCACUUUGUUGGGAGUUCCACUCCCGCUCUCGACCUUCCAAGUCGGAGCUUUUAGUUCAAACGUGUUAUGCUCGUUUGGCUUUCGCUUCGGCCACUACCACGUGGCACCCUUUCCGACUCCACUUUGGGGCCUAGGGAUUUUGUGUCUCACAAGAUGUUCCACCUCUAACUUACUAUCAUCAUGUUUUCAUCUUCCAGAGGGGAAGAUGGUGUAAGGUUUGUAAAUACAUAUAUGUAUAUACAUAUAUGUAAUACAUUAAUUAUAGUGCUACAAUAUAUGGACCAUCCAUUUAGGAUUAAAUCAGGUCCAUCCAUUUUUAUAUAUAAGUAGGGUCUAAAACCCUAAUUAAUAUACCUAUUUUUAUAUCCUAAGCACUCACAACACUUAUAACAUAAUAAAUAUAAUAGAGUGCCAAUUGAAAUCUUAGAUCUUCUACCAAGAUAAAAUUGCUUAUAAAUAAAUAAAAUAAACUUCUCUAAAAUUCUCUAAAAAUAUUCCCUAAAAAUAUUGAUAUUUUUUAAAUUUCCUCAUUCAUUACAUGUUUUGGGUAUUUUAGCACUAAUGAUAUCUCUAAAUAGCAAACUAAAUCAUUUUGUUUUAUAGAUACUAAUUUAUAUCUCAAAAUAGAUAUAUUGUUUUCUUUUUUGCUUCAGAUACUCCAUUAUUUUUUUUUUGACUAAAACAAAAUUAAAUUGUAAAUACUAAUUAUUAUUUUAAAAUCAAAAUGUACCAUUUAGUAAUGUCUUAUACAUUUAUCAUUUUGUAAAACCCAUCUACUAUCUACAUAUCUUGUGGCAACAAAAUGCAAUUCUAAGCAACACACUUUGUCAAGAAGUUCUAAAUCCGCACUUCUGGAAGUAUUAUAUGAUUUCUUUGUCAAAAGUUUCUUAUGUAUAAAUUUAUAAAAGAUUAAUAUAAAACAAAUAGAUUAUAAUAAUAUAGAAUGAAAUAUAGAAAGAAUCAUGUUGAAAAGUUUUAUGGGAUUUCCUUCAUAAUGGGUUUAGUGCUCUUUAGAUUUGUAGAGAAGCUAAUUGAGUUUUUUCUUGGAUGGAAUUAUUUUUAAUUAAAAUAUAUUACUGUUGAUGUCAAUUAAUUACACAUUACUACUAGUAGAUCAAUUUAGUAUGUAAUGUUAAGAAUAAACAUAUAAAAUAACAUUAUUAUAUUUAUAAUAAGAUCUAGACUCUUUAGUAGAGCAUUGUAUUAAGGAUAAGAGACCCAUUGCUAAUCCAUCAGAAAUUAAUGUUGAAAGAUUGUAGCAAUAACUGACAAAACAUUAGUGAAGCUAACAUACACAAAGAAAUUGAUGUAGUGCAGCUGAAAUAUGUUAAUUCUUGAAAUGUUAUUACAAUUAGUUGUGAAUCUGACUAAUACAUUAUUGACACUAAAUAAUAUGAUGAAAUUCCUGGAAUUAUUUUGACACACAAUUAUUUACACAUGUUGAUAAGUUGUCAUUACUAUUAGUUUUAAUUGGCUAUUUAGUUGUCUUAUUUCUUUUUCUUUAUUUCUUCAUCUUUCAAAUGUGAAAACUUUUUCAGAAAACGUUCUUAUUAUAAAUAACUAUUCAACAGACUAAUUGCAAAAGAUAUAUUUUUUAACUUUUUAAAUAAAUGCCAAUACAAGAAAAGAAAUUUGCAAGACAAAUUCAUGAAUCCUUGUUAGGAUUAAGGAUUUUCACUGAAGAUAAUUAGGGAUUGUAAAUUCUUUAUACAAAUGCAUUACACUAAGAGUGCAACUUAUCAAUACCAUAAUUUUUCUCAUAAAAUAUAAAUAUAUAAAUAAAUGAUGUCAAAUUCUACUAACUUUUAAUGUUUAUAAAUAAUUUUAUGGAGAACAUAUUACUCAUAAAUUUCUCUAUAUAACUGUUUUUAAGCAUGGAAGACUUUCAAAAAAUGAAAACAUAUGAGUCUAAAUUAUUUUUAAAAUUUAACAUUGAAUAAAAAUAUAAUUAAAUUAUUAAUUUAUUAAUUUAUAAACUAAAAUCAUAGAUCUAGCACAUACCAUGUACAUAAUAAUAUUAACAUAUUUUAUAUAUUAUAUUUUCUUUAUACUAUUAUAAGAAUAUUAUGAAGAUAUAAUAUACAUGAGGUCAAUUACUUUUAUAUUUGCAUUUCCAAAAAAUAUACUUUUGUAUCAAUCUUAUCAUUUGUGACUAUAGUGUUAUUUAUUUUCAUUUUAUCAACUCUACUUCAUGAUUUUCCUUAUUUUUAAAUUAGAUUGUUCAAACCUAUAUUUUAAAGAACAUAAAUCUUAAAAUUUUAAAUUAAAUCUAACAUACUACUAUAUACAUGAAUAAUUAAAAUAUAUUUUAUAUUGCAAGAACCACUGCUGUCUUGUAGCUGUAAGAAAUUUUUUAUUUAUUAAUACUAUAGAAUACCACUUUCUAAGUAAAACAUAAAAUAUAAAAACCGUUUUCAAAAAAAAUAUAAAAAAAUAAACAUAUUUUGAGCUGGAACUUAUAUUACAUAUAACAUGGAUGUUGUGGAAAAUACUAAUCUUGGAGACUAAAACUGAUUUGGAAAGUUAUUGUUGCUUAUAAAGAUUUUAAGUAUAAUGAUAUGUUAAGAUAUCCUCAAGAAUGUUUUGUUUCAUAUUUUAUAUAUAUAUAUAUAUAUAUAUAUAUAUAUAUAUAUAUAUAUUAUUGUGUUAUAAAAUAGUGAUUAUUAGUGAUAUUAUUAGCAUUUUCUGAAAAUAUAGUGGUGAAUGAUAUAAUGGAGUUUCUUUACUUAAAUGAAGAAGUAAACCUGUAUUGUCAUAGAAGUGCGGAAAUGUCAUCAUGCAUGAGAAAACUCCAUUUUUUUUGUUACUGCUUUAAUCCCAAUUUCCAAUGCAUGCCAUUGAUAUUACCACAAUAGUAAUAUAACUGUUCAGUACCUACAUUAUCAAUAAUUAAAAAGCUGUACUAUUUGAAUUUAUAUUGAUUAUUCUGAAAGUUUUUAAUUUUUUAAUAUCUUCAUUUAAAUUUAUCAUGGGAGGACCCUAGCAUAAAUUCUAUUUUUUUUUUAAGAUAUCUGCUAUUUGUAUGACAUGUUGUUUCUCCUUUUUCUCUAUUUAUUUUUAAAUUUUAUUGUGCUCAUUGAAUAGCCCACAACUUGAUAAGAUUUCACACCCUUUCAGCUGUUGAAUCUAUGAUAAUAAGAAAUACAACUCAAAAACAAAAUCAGACUAUGCUAUCAAAGUUUUACCCAAGGAACUUCAUGUGCUUGGAUGUACCAGCAAGGACUCCUUAGCUUAUGGAACUGCAGAAGUUAGCUCGAGUUUUCUUUCAUCUCUGAGAAGAAGCUAACAAAGCUUUUGCUUGUAGUAACCCGAGCAUAGAUGGUGAAAACUGGUGGCAAGGCCAUGCACAUGCUACUCAAUUCCCAGCCAAGGCACUCUUAAAAGGAUUGAUUCACCAGGUUUAAUAUUUGUAGCAUCACAAGUCUCCCUGCAAGCUGACUUGGUCACUCGGAGAAACUGAGAGACAAUCUACUCCGUGAUUGAGUUGAAGGAACUCAAGUUGGUUGUUUGGUUGUUGUUGCUGUUUGUGGGAUUGAAACACCAGAGGAUCUUCUCAUAGAUGGCCUGGGACAUGAAUGCAUCCUUGCCAACACUGAUUUUCAGGGGUUAUUCAUGUAAGUAGUACUCAUUUCCUACAAGUUUGAUACUCUACGCAGGUUGGGUCAUUUGUCUGACACAGCAAGGCGUGAAAUCUCAUCGUUAACUCCUCACUAUAGCUAUGCCAAUGUGGUGGCAGCAGCCAGAGAGCUUGCCUUCAAGCUUGACAGCCCGAGCUUCAGGUUUUGAAAGAAAAAAAAAGCUUGCUCUUUGCUCAUGUUGUUUUCAUUUCUUUAGCAGGUAGCUCUAGAUCAUAAAAAAAAAUUGGUUUUUUUACUUCCAUACUUGGUCCUGGUGGGAGUGUGAAAGCUUUUCUCUCAGAUUUACCAGACACUUGCUGGAUGGGAAUGAUGGUACAUAUGCAUGAGUUUUGCCUCUAUUGUUUUUCAAUCUCUUUCUCUUUCUUGAGCAACUAUGGCAAUGCUUUCCAAAACUUAUACACUUAUUGCGGAUACAGCAUUCUUCCCUGCAUUGAUGCUGUUAUUGCCUACAUCUUUGAAGACGCAUAGAUGAUAAUUUGAUAACAUCACUUGAUAUCAAAUCAAAAUCUGGAUUUGAUAAUUUGUAAUCUGGAUCUAUAAUACAGCACAUAGGGAUGGACGGUUGAAUGUGAAACUCUGCAAGAACAAGGUAACUAUAGAGCUGCAAGGAAAGAACCUUCAGGAACUUACUCUAUGAGGAAUCAAAUAAUCCAGAACACCUUCUACUUGAGGUUCCUCGGGGAUAUGAAGAAAGAAACAUUUAGACCGUGAAAGAACACGAGAGAUUCCUUACUGACCUUGCCAUAAGCAAACACGUCUGCUUGGGCAUAUAAACUCGUCGUUUGUUAUAACAAUUUACUGAAUGAAUUGUCAGCCUGUGGUAAUGAGAGUAAUAACAAUCUUCUUCUCAAAAUCACUGAUUGCUAUCUUUUGAUGAUUCCAAUGAAGUCGCAUGGAACAACUUGAUGUUUUUUACUAUCUGAAAGUACUGAGCUCUGCUUCACCAAGGCGCAAAAACGCAGAAAAGCGAGAGUGUUGACGUUGAUAUCGUCAUUAAACUUGUUUUUUAUGACGCAAGAAUGCCAUUCACACAGUCUGUGAAUAUUGUGUUCUCGGUUUCAGUAAUGUGUUGAAAGUAAUUUCUGGCAACUUUCUCCACCGGUUCAAAUGCAAGAUGGAUAAUGCUGCUGUCUCUAUCUGUUGCAGCAGUAAUAAAGAUCUGUAAUUGAUAAAGCAUUGAUACUUUGUCUAAAAUUACUCAAAACUUUGUUACCAUAACCGUAAUUUUCCAGCCAGAUUUUAUGUUGCCAACUCGGAUCCUGCCUCUGUUGAGACCUGUGGUACUCAGGAGGAACUUGGCAACCUCUUCAGGAAUUUUCUCCACUUCUUGGCUUUUACAAGGAAAUCAAUACCCUUGCAAGGCUUCUGGUUGAAUAGUAUGAUUCCUUUCUGCAUAGUGUAAAAAUCUUGUAAUUGAAUGCCCAGUCCUUCAUGCAUCCCUAGUGUAUAAGGUGGAAAAGUUACAGAAGAAAUUCGCAGCACUGGCGCUCUCUUACAAUAAAGCAGGGAUAGAGAUUACGUGAAGCUCAAGGUUGUGAACACGUCUUUGACUGCACUUUCAGUUGAUGCUUUAUCUGUUUCUGAUUCUAAUGGUUCAGCAGUCUCAUCCCCGACUUCUGUAGCAAUAGCUCCUGCCAUGGAUAUGCUUAGAGUGUCCGGUUCAUGAAGUGGGAAUGUCUACUUCAAUGCCACAAUUGCUCGCAAAGACAUUUCUAGCAAUGAAACUAUAACUCUGAUAUCAUGUCCUNNNNNNNNNNNNNNNNNNNNNNNNNNNNNNNNNNNNNNNNNNNNNNNNNNNNNNNNNNNNNNNNNNNNNNNNNNNNNNNNNNNNNNNNNNNNNNNNNNNNGCGAACAAAAGAAGACUAAUACCUCAGAGAAACGAUGAAUGACAUGAUCACCUGCGUCGCAUUGAAGGCACGUUUUAAAUAUUUCAACGUCUAGGCAAGUAUCACUAGUCCGCUUAGUGGAAGGUUUCCUAGCUAAACCCUAAACCCUAAACCCAAUGGCAGAAAGAAAUUUAUAUAUACUUGAGCUAGAAAGUAAUCAGUAUAAAAGUUGAAUUCUCUCCCUACUUGAGUAGUUUAAAUAAACACUAGGCUUAUUUUCAUUAAUAAAAAGAAAAAGAUAUCAAAAAUUCUUUUGAGAACCAUGUUUUUCCUUUUGGAUUAGCCAUUAGGUUACAGCUGUAUGAAAAGCUUUUCUCUUAGAGCACAUGUUUGCAAUGAUUAACUUGGCUAUUAUGUAAAGAUAAUGCUAUGAGGGAUUCUAAUGGCAUGGAUUGUCCCAUAUCCAAGCUACAUCAAGAGCAUUUAAUUUCAUGAAUUUGAGGAGUUAUUGUGCUAAUCACAAAUUUAAUGCCUUCUAAUAAAAUUAAUAUUAGCAUAGAAAAAUCUUUAUUUAGGGUUUAUUUAUUUAUCUUUAUUUAUCUUUAUCCUCCAAACAGUCUCAAAGAAAUUAAAGUAAAAAAAUUGAAUAUCUUUUAUUAAAGGUUGAGAUUGACAUCUUUUAGGAGUGAUUUAAUUAAUUGAUAAACAAAAGAUUCAUUCUUUUCUUAAUUGAUUUAUAAGAUUUAGAUAUAUUUACAAAGGAUUAUUGUUUUUUUAUGUGAUUUUUAUGGCUAUGAUGUUAUUUACUAUUCUUAGCAUAGUAACUAUUGAAUUAGUUUUAAUCCAGACCACUCACUUCUAUAUAUAAGCUAGGGUUUUUAAUUAUAAUUGAAUACACUUCUAUAUUCCAUGCACCCACAUUGGUGGAGAUGAGGAGCAAUUUGGUUGUCUCUUAGGAGUGUUUAAAUUUGUGUAUUUGGUUUAGCUUGUGCAUUGUCUAGAUCUCUCUUAUUCUUGUAGCCUUUCCAUUUCUACUCUUUAUGGCAGAGUAGAAUACUCCUGUGCAGAAACAUCUUCCUCUUUUGACUUUAGAAUAACAAUUGAUGCAAUUGCUUGAUGCUAUGUAGUUGCAACUGAAUAAUCAAACUUAAUUGAUAGUAAUAUUCAUAGUGUAAGGUGCAACUUCUCUUGCUUUUGAUGCCAAUCCUUAUGUCCAGCUAAAUUUCUUUAGUGGGAAUCUUGAAGAUAAUGCAUACAAUUGGUUUGAUCACUUUAUAGUGAUUGUCAUUUAUCAUUCUUGGGAUAAUGCCUGGCAUUGAUAUGAGUUUCCUACAUAUCUUAAGAGAUGCUAUUGUAAUGAUACAAUGGUUUGAGUGCAACCACUCAUGUAGAUUCAAACUUUCUCCCGAACAUGUAGAGCCAAUAUUUUAGAGUGGAUCAAGUUGGGGGUGUUACUUUGUCAAGAUCUUAUGAGACUUGUGCAUGCACUUGCCCUAGUUACCCUUGAUAAUACUCUUUAGCUAACACACAUUAUGAGACAUCACCUUUCCCACUUAUAGUAGUACAUACUUCAAUUCUACUGUAAGCAACCAAAGGGAACGACUCGAGAGACGAUCUAUGGGGUUCAAAUAUAGAGGGAAAGGGCCCAUGAACAAGAGUGCACCCCUUUUUCCAAUCGGUUAAGGGUCUUGGGAUACUUGGGGUUAAGCGUCCUUGGGUUUGAAUAGUACUGGGCUGGGUGACCUCCUGGGAAGUCCAAACUCAGAAGCUUACAUCUACUUCCCAUGGGAGAUGUUCUUAUUUCAAUGGAGAUGGACACUAUUGCAAGGACAAGGGUGAGGAUGUGGUCAUGGCCAUGAUAUUUGCUGCUAAAUGUGUGAUGAAGUUGGCCACAUGAAUUAGAGUUUUCAAUGUUUUCUGAAUUAGCACCAUCCAUUUAUUGGGUCGAAGUCUUGGCAUUAACAACAUCAUGUUAAUGCUAUUGUAGUGGAAGGUUUUGACAUAGAGAAUUUUCAAGAAACAAGGUGUCACAUGAGUAGUGGAGACUCUUGCAUGAAUAAGUCAAUGACCACUCCAUCCUUUUGGAAGUACAAUUCACUUUGCAUCAGUUCAUCUAGUGUUUUCUUUCUAAACUCAAUUUUAUAAUAAGAGAUCCCUUAUUAUCUAGCUAAUAUAAGUUUGAGUUUAUCUUCUAUUACUUAACAUAUGUUAUCAUUUAUAGUUGCAUUAUGUGGUAGAGUCAGUUUUCAUUUUCUAUAGAACCGGCUAUACAUAUACAUAUAUCUUUUUAUUUUAGAUUAAACUUAAAACUAUUCAGCUUUAACAUUUUUAAAAAAAUUAUUCAUUAUAAAAAUAUCAAGCACUUUGUCUUGUAAAACUGCAGCAUAGAGAAAUACAGCCAGAUGAAUGUGAUGCAAUUGCAAGAGAGACUCGUGAAGAGAUAAGAUGAAAUCCAAGGAAUUCUUGUUAGUUUGUACAUGGUUAAAUUCUUAUUGUGAGAAUGAAAUGGUCAGUUAUAUAGAUCUCUAAGAAGUGUUAAUGCCACAUUAAACUCUCAAGGGCAUUAAUGUAUAAGCUAAACACAAUGAACAUCCUUAUUUAAUGCAUUCAAUCUAUUUAACUUCUUGAUAGUUUGCAAGAAUAAUGACAUACAUUUGUUCAAUGACAACUAAUAAUGUGUUAAUGAAAAAUGACAUUUUAUAGAAAUAAAAAUUCCCAAAAUUAAAUAUCUAGAUUGUAAAAAAUAAUGUUGAGAAUUAUAAACUAUGGUUCAUCAGGAUUAUAAUUAAGUAAUAUCAUGCUAAAAGUUAUGCUUUCAAAAUCUUUAUGUUAGUUUAAAACUUUUAAAAAAUUUCUACAAGAUUGUCUCUUGCUGAAGGAUUUUAAAUCAUAUGUACCUAAAAUUCUAGAAAAUUUUAAUUUAAAUAAAAAAUUACUAUAAAAUUAUUAAAAACUACUUACUAUUCAGCAAUUAACUAAAGGAGAACCUUAUUAUAAAAAACUUAGAUGAUAAAAAAUAUUAAUAUUGUUUAUAAACAUAGAACUAGCUCAUUACUAUUUAAAGAAUAAUAUUAUUAUAGUUUGUAUAUUGGACUAUAUUUAAUAUAAUAUAAUAACCUUAUCAAAAUAUAAUAAAUUUAAGGUUAUUUUUAUUUUUAUUUUAUUUUAAAAUAUUAGAUAUUAUUGUAUCAAGAUUAUAAUUUGUGAAUAAAGUGUUGUUAUUGAUUUUUUUCCUCUCUAGUUCUACAUUCUCUAGAUUAGAUUGUUGAUACUUUGAUUAUAAAUAAAAGAAAAAUAAAAAAAUACCUAGAUCUAACAUAUUAUAAUAUACACGAAUAAUUUAAUGAUAUUUUUAUAUUUUUUAAAGUAUAACUUAAUAUAUUUAUCAACAUAUAAUAUAAAGUAUAAGAAUAUUUAUAAAAGAAUUACCCUAAAAAACUUAUAAUUCACAUGUAUAUAGCUGGGAUUUACAUUAAUUUUAAGCUUUAUAAUUUUUGAGGAUUUUUAUAAGUGAGAAUAAUUCUCUUAAGUCUUCAAGAGUAGAGUUUUCUUGAAAAAUAACGAUAUUUUUGAGAUAUAAUUGUAUGUUUUGUAUGUAUACAUCACCAAAGAUUUCUCUAAAUAGCAACAUACAGAUUUACUUUUCAAUAUAAAUACUAAUAUGUUUUUCAUAAGAUUAGCACCCUUCCUUAUUCUUUCUUUCUUUAAAUACGAAAUCCAUUAUAUGAUUUUUCUCUAAAAUCCUUCUUUAGGCCAACUAUCAACUUCUUAUUUUUCAAUUUUAAAAAUUCACUAUUCUGUAAUGGCUUACUACAAGGUCUCAUCUUCUCUCAGUUGCAAUAAUGUGUUAGCUUGGACUAUUGAAAUAGGAGAUUGUGACCGUAGGAUACCAUUAUUUGCACGAACUUAUGAUGUUAGUUUUUGUAGCAGUGGACUGUAACACAUUUGUUAAGGAACAUUUGAUAAUAAGAUUGAAAUGGUGACCUUUGUGGCCCAAACUUAUGUUUCUAUGCUCCCUGCCACCACAAGCCAUUCUAAGGAAGCUCCUGAAUCUAGUGUCAGGCAAUGCAACUGAUAUUAGAUCUCUUCCUCUUGCAAGGAUAUGUGUCUGUCUAGGUAUUCACAAAGGUGAUGUAUCCAAUUCUAUUCUUCUUAGACAUUUUGUCUUGGGUGACUCAUUUAUCUGAUUUCAUUGUUUGAGAGUGAAGUGGCAAGAGACUGAAAUCUCUUCUUGUGUCAUUCCAACCUUGUAAGCAUUGUUUUAUAGUCAAGCAAAGCCACAAAGGCUACAACAGGCAGUACAAUGUACUACUAUUUAACUAUUUAUUAGAGCAAGAAAAUAUCAUACUACACCUUAUAGUUUCUCAUUCCCUAGACAUUCCUCAGACGCUGCUCGUAGAAUUCCAGAAGCUGUAACUUGACUACCAUAAAACAUGAAAGAAGCAGUGAAAAAGUACCAUUCAUAUUUUAAAGGAUUUUUUUUCGUUAUUGAAAGAUAUCCAGAGGUUAACACUUCAGAGCCUCACAAGCACCUUAUAAAUUUCCCUUAAAGAGAUGAUGUGCAGUUCUAUGGUUCUUUAAGAAUACCUGCCAGUUUGAAUUUGUCUUGAACAUGUCUUCAUUAGGUCCAUUGGAGAAAAGGGUAAACAUAAAUGCAGAGUUUUUAUAAAUAGUGUUUCCUUCCAAAAUACAGAAGCGACAGGGAUGAAUUAGAGUAGUAAAACUUCUGUAAUUAAAAAAGAAAAAAAAUAUUCUACUGAAUUGUACCUCAUACAAGAUGAUACCCAAUGUAUUCUCAUGCCGCCGAAACUUUUAAAGAAUAGUCUAGAUGUGGCCUAAAGAAGAAAGAUUAUAUGAAGGAAGGUUUGUAUGAAACUGUAAAUGUUUAUCUUCAAUUUCUCGAGCACAUUAGGAUUUUGUUUUAGAAAACCAUCAGCCAUCAAGUUGUGACCAGUGUUUAUGUACAUGUUGAGGAUGUCUAUGAUUUCAGCACUUCCAGAGCCUCUCCUUUGUCAUCCAGCUCAUCCAUGAGCAAUGAAAGAAUGCUUGUUUCCUGUGGCUUUCUGGAAGUUCUUUGCUGGUUGAUCAGGUCCUGGAUAAGCUUGAUGAGCUUUCACCUAGCCUGAGAAUGGGAAAACAUCACAAAACUAUAUAGGACAAUGUGUAUGGCUUUUACCUUCAAGGCUUUGUUGUAGGCAGUGUUGGAGAAGUUGAUGGGGAAAGCCUGAAUGCCUUGGUUGACAAUGAUGUACAAGGAGAAAAUCUCAUCCACAUCAAGGCUGGAGUCUUUCCUAUAUAAAAUGUAGAGGACAGUUAGAUACGUGAACUGUCAUAUCAGGAAAAACCAGCAUCAACGAGAAAAAUAAGACAAAGAGGAAGUAAACAUCACUUACCCUUCUCAUCUCAGUAAGAAGAACAAUCUUAUGCUGCGUAGGCCACCUUGCAAGGCAUGCUGUUGUAGGGGCACGUACUGCUUAAGCGCAUUGGGAUUGUUUACAGUGGACUCAGUAAGCUUCUGGAGCUUCAAGUAGCUCUCUUCAGUUAAUCCCGCAAACAAAUUUCGUCCAAUGAGCACAACAGCGCUCUUUGGCCAUCCUGUCUCAAAGCUGUCUUUGGAGAGCACGAAUUUGUAUGCCUCUGGUGUGGCAACCAGGACGGUGGGCUGCUAGAACAGAAACACCUUGUAAAACCCACUCGAUUAUACCUGAAACCAAGAAGUGACCCAUGAAAGAGUAUGGUAAUCCAGACUUGAAGGCUCUGAGAAAAGCAGCCAUGUUUUUGGGCCAUCCAAGCAGACCCGGUGGAAGUGGAGGCUGUCCCAGCUUGAGCACCGGCUUGUAGUACCACUUGUUUAAAAAUCUUGAGAAUGUCAGCAAAGCAGUCACUGCCAUGUUGCCAUGUUGCUUUCCAGUGAACAACUUGGAGGAGGAAGAACCCCAUAAUGGUACAGCGUUGGUACUCAACUAUGGCAUCUGAUUAAUUGAGCGACCAGUCACGUUCAUAAUAGUGGCUCCAGUGACGAUAACUCAAGAGCACCACUGCUGUAUUGGCAGUGCACUCCUUGUUGGGAAAUUUCAAGCAAUACUGGAUAUUUUGAUCGGCUCCAAAACUGUAAAAAAAAAGUAAUAAACACAAAAUUUCAGGAUUGAAUCUCAUCCAGGUCACUGCAAGAAUAUGGCAACCAUAAAUUCUCUGCCUUUCAUUAUAGACCUCAACGCUGAAUCUCAGUAGUUUCCAAUCAAAAGAACCAAAAUAAAUAAAUCCCAGCCUUUCUACCACUCCCAGGAAUAAGAAGGGAGACCUGCAAUAGGAAAAACAGGCUGUAAAACACACAAGCACCUCCAAAAGCUCAUUCAUUGGAAAUAAGAACAACUAUUUUUUUUCUAGAAGUUCGACAUAUUCUACUUUACCGUAAAUUACCUGGACACAGUGUCAUGAGUUUAAGUUGAUUAAACCUGCAAUCCUUACUAUUAUAUCCUGAGAUUACUUCAUUUUCAGAUUUUCACAUCUUCAUUUUCCGAUCCAUCUUUUUUCCUACACAAACAUCAAGCAUCAGUAAGUGAUCCACAUCAAUGAGAAAGAAAAGUGCCACAAAGAUAUCAGAGUCAAUAACAAUAAAAAGAAUAGUUGUAUUGAUUAUGAGCUAUUAGCUUGAAUGCCACAGCAGUUCACAAAAAUAAUCACAAGUCUGGAUGUGUAGUUUACAGUGGCUUAAAAGGGAAGAGACCUCUCUUACCUCACUCAUUUGAUCGAGAAAAACAUGACUUGUCAUCUUUCUCUCUGGAACAUACACAAAGUGAGCAAAUGAAAGAAGUUGAGAAUGUAAAGGCACACAUACCUGGUGAGCUCGAUGACACAGCAAAAAUGUCCAUGCCAACAUCAAUCCUAGAGGCCCCACCUUGAUCAGGCUUCUCGCAUUCUAGAAUUGCUGCUGGAUCAUUGCCGCCAUCUUCACUUGUACUGGGACUCAACUUGAAAGUAUUGAUGUUUGUCAAGAUAAAUGCUACUUCCUUCAUGAAUGACAAAUAUUGUUGGUGUUGUUUAGACUGAGAAGGACCGUCUCCAUUAUAAAGCCACACUAAUAAAAAAGAGCAUAAGUGAAAGCAAUGGAAAACAUGAGAGCAAUACAGUAGUUUUAUCAUUGGCACCACCAAGGUUUCACUGCCACCAAGGCCAGCAAGACCAAUUUCUGUCCAGCUGGUAGCCUAAAGAGAUCACAGGAAUUUGCAGCUUCUACCACAUUCAGUUCAUCAUUUGGUUUUACUGUUCCUUUGAAAGAUUGAAUCAGCAAAUCACCACAGCUGAGAACAAUUUGAACCAGCUACAUUCUGGCACAUAAGGAAAUUGGUAUGCUAUUCACAUGGAAUCAUGUCAAGGAGUGAGCAACUGAAACUAAGCUUUUCACCAAGGCAAGAACAAAUAAAAAAUGAAAUAAAAUUACCAGUCCUCCCCCCUGGUCAAGCAGAUAAAUGCUAAUUGCUGACCCACUGCAUUGGCCAGUGCUGGGUGCUUCCUAGCCUGAGUGGCAUGACACAAAAUCAGUGUCGCGAAUGUGACUUCGGGUAUCGAAAGUUACCUGUCAACCAGUCCUUACGGACACUCUUACCUUACUGCCACGAUGGCAGGAGGUCGGUAUUGCUGGUUCCCUUUAUUAGCCCCUCUUGUUCAAGUGUUAGUAAACUGGACUUUGCAUCUGUACUUGGCCGGAUGAGCAUAAGGAAGGAAUUCUUAAGUGUCUAUUUAGCUGAGCAUACUUGGCCUGGCUUGUUAGUUCUCUUUUGCUCUGUCUUGCACUGGCUUGACAAGAACCCUCGCGUAUUGAGAUUGGUCCCUCAAUAUUGCUACAUGAUAGCUUACAGUGUCUNNNNNNNNNNNNNNNNNNNNNNNNNNNNNNNNNNNNNNNNNNNNNNNNNNNNNNNNNNNNNNNNNNNNNNNNNNNNNNNNNNNNNNNNNNNNNNNNNNNNNNNNNNNNNNNNNNNNNNNNNNNNNNNNNNNNNNNNNNNNNNNNNNNNNNNNNNNAUCUAAAGACAUUCCAUAUUUAGUAAGUUUCGAGCUUGUCCCAGAGACUAACUCCUGAUACUAAGGGAGGCUUGGGGUGAAAGCCCAAAGCGUGUGUUCCUCAAGGGGGGGGGGGGGGGGGGGGGAUUGUGGGGGGUUCCAAAUGUAUAGUAGGGAUAGUGGGUAGCUCGGGCAUGGCCGACCAACCUGAGGCAUAGUUUAGCUCCCGCUUGUGUGCCUGUCCUUGUUCUGCGUCCGGCUUGGGUCUAAGCCCAAGUUCCAUUCCAUGCUAGUUGGUGGAGUACCCAUAUCCUUACGUUAGGCCACCGGUAUGCCGAAAUAGCGCCAGACUCCGUUUGGCUCCGUUUUGCAUGCUGGUCCUGGCAUUGGGAUGCAGGUUGCUCUAGGACUGUUCCAAGUCACUCCGGGCUCCUGUCCCUUCGCUCCUUGGGCUUUAUGCUCGGGAGUUGCUCCGUGGUUCGGUUCCAUCACUCUUUGGCUUCACGCUUGGGAGUUUGGCACCGUUCCUUCGUUCAGUGGCCUAAGGCCCUGAACCUCGGGUUCUUAUGGACACGUGGCAUGUGACACGUGGCACAAAGAGGGUUUAGGUUCUGCUUCGUGGUGUUAUCCUAUGGUAAAUCACCAUAGGAUAAAAGGUCAAAACCACGUGCGCUACAUUUGGUAUUAGAGAAUGAGUCUCAGCGAGAGCUAUUCAAUGAGAUUGGGCAACUAGUCUCGUUGCAUACGCAGAGAUGAAAACGAUGAUCCGAGUGGGUAUACGUUUGGUGCAAAGGGUUCACAUUCGUUCCUUGGGUAUGGUUUUGGUUACCUUUUGUACCUAAUAAUGUGAGCUUGCUCUUGGGCUCAUAGGAUGGAUUUGAGUUGUUCCAUUCGCACGAGUUUGAGCUUGGGCUCGUGAGUAAGGCGCAUUAGCAACUUGAUGUUACACUUUGAGUUGGCAGGAUUAAUGUUAGCCUAUCGGUGGUUCUGUAGUAGCUUGUACCAUGGGUAAAAGCAAACCUUCCUAGAGUUUGCUAUGAGUGGCAAAUAGGCUAGUCCGUAGCUGUUUAGCAUGGCACUAGUGGAUCCUUCCUAGGCAUGAUUACAAGUGAAUCAAUCAAGACUGUAGGGAUUAGUCUAUUGGUUCAAGUAGUCAUUGCUGUGACUCAUUGCUCAUGUUCAUAUUAUACAAUCAAGAUUCUCUACCUUGAUGCAUCUUGGAGAUGAUGGUCUUACAAAUGGUGAGUUAUAGGAUGGAUAGUGGUGAAACACUAUACCAUUUUGUCUAGGCUUGCUAUUGGAAGACUUGGGUUGCAAUGUUCAAUUCUUUUCCGGAGAACCUUGCUAUUGCUCCUUGAGUAGCUUGGUGUUGGAUUAGUUUUGAGUUUGGUCGGGAAGAGAGUGGCAUGAGUUUGUCCGUGUUGUGAACAAAAGUUAGUGGUGUUGGGUGUUAUAAAUCUCUAUCAGUGGAGUGUAGCAUUUAUGUUGCAUUUUGUCGAAUUGAGUUGGCACUUGAUGCUCACAUAAACCUUUGAAGUGAUGACAUGGGAGUUACUCGUGGUGUUACUCAAUUGAUGAUCAAGUCAUUGUGAUUUUAUAUCAUAUCCAUGUGAUAAUGAGCAAUGUGUUUACGAAGUUGCUUGGUUAACGAUGAUCAACCCCAAAGUGGUUGAUGGAGAAGCUAGUCUACUUGCACAUAAUAGCAUUGUAGUAGCUUUGACUGGAUUCUCAAUGGUGGUUCAUUAUGCUAAGCUUAAGUUGGUUCCUUGUUCCUUGUUUCCUUGAGGGUUUGCCCAUAAGGUGUUGGAAAGGGUUGUAGCAUUUGCUAUAGCUCAUUAGUUGAUUUGUUAACACUUGGAGUAGAUUGUUGGAUAGAGGUGUGAAGUUGAGGCAUUGACAUUACUAACACUUGUGUUAGUGGAAGUGGCAUUGUUAUUUUAAGUGAUGAGGAAGUUUCCUUAGAGCUUGAUUUUUUCCAUGUCAUUUUUCUUGUUAGUGUUUUAGCUUCACAUUGGAUCUUGAAGGUGGUUGAAGAAGAGUGUUAGUGCAAAUGUGGAUAUCCGAAGAUGUGGUCUUUGUGAUCAAGUCUUGGAUGUUCCAUGUGCAUUUCACGGAUGUCGGUGUUGGAUGUCGGAGAUAUGGGCAAAAAGAUGUUCAAGGCUUAAGCAUACUAUGGGUCAUGAGAAUCGGUGUUGAAGUGAACCUAUGUGAAGUUGUUAGUAGGAAGAAGUUGGUUGAGUUUUGAAAGUUUGUAUUCCUAGACUAAGAGUCAUUCUUUCUCUAGGAUGGAAAAUUUUCCACAAAUUUUCUUAGACUUUUCCAAUGGCUGAUCUGUUAUCACUUUACUCGAAAACCAUUCCAUUUUCGUAAGCCAUUACAAACUAGUGAAGGGGUUGGAGUUGACUUAGGUUAACUUAAACCUUAGUAGGUAUGCGACCCGAAAGGGAUGCUGACUUUUGGGGCUAAGGCAAUUGAGUUGGAUAGAGUCUGGAGUUGGUGUAGAAAAGUGGCCGUUGCACUUUUCUAAGAAGGGUGACCCUUGUACCUUUCUUCUGUGUUAUGCUUGGUGGCAGGUUGCACCCUGCAUUUCGUUAGACUCUAUGAGAGUAGUGAGCUCUCACUCAUCUUGACUUAGUCUUGGUGUCCCUGCGCCUUGGCUGAGGAUGGUGAUAUCCAAUUUAGUUGUUUGAGUUUGAGAUGUUGGUACCCAUACUAUAGCUUUGUUUAUUAGGAGGUUGUGUACCGAUAUGAGUCCAUCUCGUGGUCUUCACUUUAGUUUCAACUAAGUGUUGAUCAUGCAUAGCUAGCCUCUUCAAGGCAUGCUCAGAGCUAUUGGCUAAAUGUGUUGGUGAGCUUAUUGCAGUUGAGUUGGAUUCGAGUGGUCAUUUAGUUCGUGCUUGUCCAUGAACCUUUAUCUUGUACUGAGAUAUUAUGUUCAUGUUGGACAAGUAUAUGACUCAAUGGCAAGAGUUUAGUGUUUGGGUCUUGUGAAGGCAAGUUGAAGAGUGAUUGUUUGUUGCUUUGCAACUAGUGAUUGCUUGUAGACUUCGUCAAAGGAUUGUUGACACUUGCUUCACUCGAUGAAGAUUUAUCAGUGAUGGGCUUGCUUUACUAGAUGGUGUUGCGGAGGAUCGUGUCGUUAGACUUACAUGGGUUUUCCAUGUUGGCAUAUCAACUCUACCUUUGUCAAAAUCAUUUAGUUGCAUUUAGUUCGUAGUGUUGGAUUUCAUGGAGUCUUGGAUGUGGUGAUUCACUCCUUGAUGAAGUGUUAUCUAUAACUGAGUAUUGUUGGAGAUUUGGUUUCAGAUACUGACUAAAGUAUCUUUCACUUUGGUUAGCUUGGUUGCUAGAAAGUUUCGAGUGGUGAUACACUUAUGCUUUCUUCUAGCUUUGUUCUAGCGUUGAUGGCAUUGAAGUGAUGCCUUGUCAUUGACAUUGUUGAUAUUGAGAUUUCAGUGAAAUGAGAUAUGUCUUUGCAAGAUUGAUGUCGAGUUUCAUUAGUUUUGAUAAAGAUAGUGUUGAUGAUUUGGCUAUGGCUUGUGUUAUUGGCAUUGGUGUAUUUGCUAGUUAGCAACUAUGUUAGCAUUCAAACAAGCUAAGUGGCAAGUUUGAGUUAGUGGUGUUCUAAACGAGAUUGUUUAGUAGAGGUUGAGCUUUGACUUUUCCUUGAAAAGUGAUUUCAGUCAUGGACUAUGCUAACUUUACAAGAGGAAAGAGUUAGUGAUUGAAUCCUUGCUGGAUUUUAGUUGGGAUAUAUCAAUCAUUGAUGAUUCUUCUUAUGCUUGUUAUGAAGUGGGUUACGUCUUGCUAAAGAUGGAUUCAUAGAGGAUCGUUUGGUGAUCACUUGUCGAGCAUAGUCUCAUUAUGUUUAGCUUUUGGAUUGAUGCAAACAUGCUCUUCAUUAGCUUUGCAUUAUGAAGUUUAGCUUAUGGAUGUGUUGAGAAGGAUAUUGUGGGUUGUAUCAUAAUUUCUUCUUUAGCAUUGAAGUUAGUUCAUGCAAGACUCGUGAUCAUUGUUAGGCAAAAACUUAGCUAUAAACUUCUUCGAGCUUUUGGUUCCUUGCGUUAUCAUGGUUGUGGUCCAUUUGUUUGAAGUUGUUGGGGAAGGCAUUUUUGACUCUUUAGCUUCAAUGUUGAAGUUAGUAUUUGCAUCUGGCAAUCAUUGGUGAUGAUUGAUUAUCAUCUGGGAUAGUUGAUUAUCUUUGUCAAAAAGGUUUUGCUUGAUUAUUGUUGGUAUAGACUGAGUUACUAUUCUUCGGGAUGGUAGAUUCUUUCUUCAAUGAUGAUUAUGCAUCUCUUUAUUGAUGGGAUGAUUCAUAAUCUUUCAUGAUAGUCAGUUAUCUCUUUGAUGGCUUUUGGCUUUUCGCUAAACAUAUAUGUACAUUACCCCAAUCCCAAAGGGAUCAAAACAACAUUGAGAGCGCACUCUCGAAGAAACUAGUGAAACUAUGAGCACGAACGCCCGGCGCUGCUCUUGGGCCGUCCGCCUCCCAGGUGACUCCACCGCGGAGCUUGAAGCCACCUGCUUCGCCUUGCCACUCCUCCACUCGGUCACAAUGAUGUCAGGCCAGACGAACACCAUGUCGAUCUAGCUCGACGUCGUCGCAGCCAAGCGGUCCAACUCAAGCACGAUGACCCGGCAUCGCUCAUGGGUCACUCGCCUCCAAGGUGGCUCCACUGCACAAGCUGAAGCCACCUGUUACGCCCCAAGACGUGAUGCUGUGUCUUGGAGCGCCUACCUCCUCAGUGUACUUCCAGCACUAAGUCGGUGCCCAUUGCGAACAAACUCCAAGGCGUAGAACAAGCGAGGUGUGAGCCUCCUCCAGCUCUAGACUAGAGCGUGCUACCUUGCCUCCCACACUAGACAAGUGCGCUGGCCCCCUUCAAUGAUAUACGAGCCCCCGUUGCCGGCAUCGCGACAAUCACAAGACUUGCAAGCCUCCGCGAACCUCCUCAAAGGACUAGCCCUGAAGCAAGAACCAUGUGGGAUCCCCUCCGCGAGCAAACCAACUCGGCCAUCCGCCACUGGCCCCCUUUGUGACAGCACUCCCCUGUCACUAGAUCCAAAAAUGCGCCCAUAGUGUCCUCCACGUCCAUCCACUGCGGACACUUCGCUAUGUCGGGAUGUCGUCCCGAACUGUCCUCCACCAGUCAACAAAAUUCCCAUGACUUGGUCGUGUUUCCACGACUCAAGUCGCCAAGAACCUCCGACACAUGCAGCUUCACGCUCUCC